CUCGGUUCCUCGGGUCAGAACCUACACAGGUGGACUCAAAUGAGGGACCAAACAUACGUAAUUACAACUCUAAUAUACUCCCCAAAAACCCCCUAAAACAUCCUGAAAAUAUCACAUAGAGAUAUGCAUGAAAUAGCUGAACAGGGCACUUUCGGCGGCACCUUCGGCGGCCGAAAGUCCUAGACAGAUCCGAAAGUCAGGCACUUUCGGCGGCACCUUCGGCGGCCGAAAGUCCCAGACAGAGACGAAAGUCUCUUUUCGGGGGCAACUUCGGCAGCCGAAUGCUGCCUCCACAAAGGGGGUUCGGCGGCCGAAACUCCCUUCGGCGGCCGAACCUGGUUUCUGCCAGAAGGGCAGAAACUUGGUUCACAUGAACCCCUUGCCUCCCAAAACCUCAAAUCAAGCAUAUAUCUCAACCAAAUCAUGCAUACAAGUUCCUAGGGGCCUCAAAACAUCAAAUACCCCAACUACAACACUUCAAACAUACUCAAGCAAGCCACAUUGUUCAAAACAUCAAUAUAAACCCAUAAACUCAACAUAUACCCUAACAUGCAUUUCUACUCAUAGAUCUUGCAUAAAACUUAUUUAAAACACAUAAGGAGCUUAAGAUCGGCUCUUACCUCUUGAAGAUGGAGAGGGAGACGACCUAAACUUGGAGAUCCACGAAAAUGAGCUCCUGAGUUCCCAAAGCUCCAAAACUUGUUUCAAAAGCUUAAAUCUUCCAAACCAAGUGAAAACAAGUGAAAAUCUUGAAAGAUUUAGAGGAAGAACAUCAAAAAUGGGUGAGAGACGGCGGAGAGCUCACCUUGGCCGAAAAUGGGAAAAAGCUCGCCCGUUUUCGGCUAAGGGACCCUUUUAUAGUGGCUGGCCAGACCACGUUCGGGGGCCG
rnacentral:lncRNA from 1 species